UAUAUGGUCAUACAAAUUUAUGAGGCAAAUUCAUUUGAACAGAUGUAAAAUUUUUCCCAGAUAAUAUUUAAGUGGUAAAAACACAUUGGCAUUGAGUGUGAAGUAAGAUUCUAUGUUUUAAAUUAAAAAUAAAUAUUUACACAAUUUCAUUUGCAAAGGAAAAGAGCUGAAAUAUUCUGAAUUGUAGGUAGUAGUUAUAACUGAAGGGUGGGCCUAUGGGUUUUUAAAAAAACUUUCAUUUUUGCAUUUACUUAUGACCUGAAAUUCUGGGUGUUUUUAGUUGAAACUUCCUGAUGUGUAUUAUGUUUUAUAAUGAGAAAAACUGUGAUAGAUUUAAAUGAAAGUAAACAUUAAAAUUAAAAUCCUAGAAAUAAUUGGGUAUAUUUCUCCACUAAUUUUUAUCCAAUACAAACUUUUUCUUCCUUUAAAGUGGAUUCUCCAGGAAGAUUAUAACCCACCACCAUUCUGGAUCUUCCUUUCAAGUAGCCCUGAAGAUCCAAUCAACUGGGCUCUAAAUCUUUUCUAAUGAACCUCCUCACCGGCAAGGGGCUGGCCUUACCCUCCUUUUGUAACAGCCGGACUCCCGCCCUACCACUGGCUUUGGAUGCUCCAGCCUCUGCCUCACGGGGACGCCGCCUCCAUAGAUGUGGGCACAGGAGGGCCUCAACCCCAGAUCUGAAACCCCAGGUCUAUGCAAACCCAAGGCCUUCCAGGACCUCCGUUCCAGGACAAUGAGGCUCCUCCAUGUCUUCCUCACCGCUCUCUUGAUCCUCUUCCAGGCCUGGACCGGACACCUCUUGCCACAUGACACGGUGUGACAUUGAGUUCUGCUGGACAAGGCUUCCAUCUAACGAGCCUGUGAGAGCUGGGUGGGUUUUGCAUGAUGGGGAGGUGGGGUGACUGGUGAGGCACACGGGGCAGUGGUUACAGACCCUGCGGUUAACACCCAGGUGUUCCUGUGACAGGAAGGGUGUAUAUAUAUAUAUAUAUAUAUAUAUAUAUAUAUAUACAUAUAUAUUUUUUUUUCUUUCUUUUGGCUGUGCUGGGUCUUCAUUGCUGCACGGGCUUUUCUCUAGUUUUGGAGAGCGCAGGCUACUCUCCAGUUGCAGGGCACACGUUUCUCAUUGCAGGGGCUUCUCAUUGUGGAGCCCGGGCUCUGGAGCACAGGCUCACCGUGGCGUCUCAGGGGCUUACUUACUCCCACACGUGGCAUCUUCUCGAACCAGGUUCAUCAGCAUCACUG
rnacentral:lncRNA from 1 species